UGGUCCAUCCAAAUCCCUGCCGGUCCGCCUGUGGAGGUCUCAUGUGGACCAGAGCUCCCUAGAAGCCUCACCCCGAGAAGUGAGCAGGGCUUGUGCCAAGGGCGCUUCUGGACACUC